AUUUUCAAUCAAACAUGACUUCUCCCUGCCCCAAACCAAACCAUAACACACACACACACACUUUUUUGUUUUUACUACUACCAACAUUUUUUUAUAUUUUUUAUUAUUUUUUAAUAUUAAUAACUUCACUUGCCUAUAUAAUAUACCAUCAUCAUAACACUUUCUCUAUAACUUUCAGUUUCUUCAUACUUGUCAACAUGCUUUUGGUUGGAACUGCUCAACAAGAGUCUCUCUCUAAUGCCACCAACCAUCUUCAUCUUUUGUCUCAGUUUUGUGUAAUAAGAUUCAUUGCUUUUCACUCUUGCAAAUGGAGAAUUCAUAUUAGGCCUCUGAAGCACGGACAUGCAGUGUUUGACACGUCUCACAGGAUCAACAUGACAAAUACAGUAUCAUUCUAAACAUGCAUUGAAUUGGUAUUUUUUAAUUUCUAGAGUUUUUUUUUGGGUUUUAAUCAGUGGCAUUAUUUUGCCAAUAAAAUACAAAGAGGUAGAUGACAAAAGCAAUGGUGUAAAAUUUGUAAACCAAUAUAGGUUGAAGAGAAAAGGCUAUGACUGUGCAAGUGCAUUAACUCCUUAUAAAAAACAAACACUGCAAAAUCCAUUUCUCUCUAUGGCUCUAUUCCUUCACAUUUGAUUCAAAGGUUGUCAAUACCAAAAGAGAAUCAUGGUAGUAUGUUUUUUUCCUUUGUUUUUGGUGUGUGAACAUGUGCUGUCACCUUUACUUUUUAAUUAUUUCCUCUUAUUAUUUCACAGAUUCAUACCAUUUGUAGAAAACAUGAAAAGACUCUUUUGGUCAAUUCAAAUUGAAAAGACUAUAUAUUGUAAAUAGAACAUUUUGAUUUUUGAGAA